rnacentral:rRNA from 1 species
ACGGAAGGCAGCAGUGAGGAAUAUUGGUCAAUGGGCGGAAGCCUGAACCAGCCAAGUCGCGUGAAGGAUGAAGGUUCUAUGGAUUGUAAACUUCUUUUGCCCGAGGGUAAAGUGAGGGACGUGUCCCUUAUUGCAAGUAUCGGGUGAAUAAGCAUCGGCUAACUCCGUGUCAGCAGCCGCGGUAAUACGGAGGAUGCGAGCGUUAUCCGGAUUUAUUGGGUUUAAAGGGUGCGCAGGCGGCACGUUAAGUCAGCGGUGAAAUGUCGGGGCUCAACCCGGGCACUGCCGUUGAAACUGGCGAGCUUGAGUACGGAUGAAGUCGGCGGAAUGUGAUGUGUAGCGGUGAAAUGCUUAGAUAUGUCACAGAACACCGAUUGCGAAGGCAGCUGACUAAUCCGCAACUGACGCUCAGGCACGAAAGCGUGGGGAUCGAACAGGAUUAGAUACCCUGGUA